GUACCUGUAGCUCAGCUGGAUAGAGUGUCAGACUCCGACUCUGAAGGCCGUGGGUUCGAAUCCCGCCAGGUACACCA
rnacentral:tRNA from 1 species